AGCUCUGAACGAGCCAAAGUGCAAAUUUGGCCAAACCGCCUUGCGGCGGUCUGAGCUU
rnacentral:tRNA from 1 species